AGGGAUAUAUCUCAGUGGCACAGAGCCUGCCUUGCAAGCACACGUUCUGAGUUCAAUUCUCAAUACUCUCU
rnacentral:tRNA from 1 species